rnacentral:misc_RNA from 1 species
CCAAUAGCGUAUAUUAAAGUUGUUGCAGUUAAAAAGCUCGUAGUUGAAUCUCGGGGUUAGUAGGUUGGUCAUGCCUCUGGUAUGUACUGGUCUCACUGAUUCCUCCUUCCUGAUGAACCGUAAUGCCAUUAAUUUGGUGUUGCGGGGAAUUUGGACUGUUACUUUGAAAAAAUUAGAGUGUUUAAAGCAAGCUAACGCUUGAAUACAUUAGCAUGGAAUAAUGAAAUAGGACGUUCGAUCCUAUUUUGUUGGUUUCUAGGAUUGACGUAAUGAUUAAUAGGGAUAGUUGGGGGCAUUAGUAUUCAAUUGUCAGAGGUGAAAUUCUUGGAUUUAUUGAAGACUAACUACUGCGAAAGCAUUUGCCAAGGAUGUUUUCAUUAAUCAAGAACGAAAGUUAGGGGAUCGAAGACGAUCAGAUACCGUCGUAGUCUUAACCAUAAACUAUGCCGACUAGGGAUCGGAUGAUGUUAAUUUUUUAAUGACUCAUUCGGCGCCUUACG